rnacentral:rRNA from 1 species
UACGAAGGGGGCUAGCGUUGCUCGGAAUCACUGGGCGUAAAGCGCACGUAGGCGGACUCUUAAGUCAGGGGUGAAAUCCUGGAGCUCAACUCCAGAACUGCCUUUGAUACUGAAGAUCUUGAGUUCGGGAGAGGUGAGCGGAACUGCGAGUGUAGAGGUGAAAUUCGUAGAUAUUCGCAAGAACACCAGUGGCGAAGGCGGCUCACUGGCCCGAUACUGACGCUGAGGCACGAAAGCGUGGGGAGCAAACAGG